AGACUAGUCAAUCGGCUACCGGCGCGGCCGCGCUCCAAAACAAACACUCGACAGUGGGAAGGGAAGGAGAGUCUAGCAGCCGGAAAAAAAUGGUGUCCCGCGCUGGGUUCGCCUCCCUCCUCGGCGCCUCCUUCCUCCUGCUCCUCCUGCGCGGCGCCGAGCCGCUCGGGUUCAGCCACCGCCCGAUGACCGCCGGCGACGAGCUCUCGGCCGCCCCGAGCAGAUACCUGACGCGGGAGGAGCGCUGGAUGAGCCAGCGCCUCGACCACUUCUCCCCCACCGACCACCGCCAAUUCAAUCAGCGCUACUUCGAGUUCCUGGACUACCACGACGACCCCACCGGCCCGGUGUUCCUGCGCAUCUGCGGCGAGUCCUCCUGCGACGGCCUCCCCAACGACUACCUCGCCGUCAUCGCCAAGAAGUUCGGCGCCGCGGUGGUGACGCCGGAGCACCGGUACUACGGCAAGAGCUCCCCGUUCGACAGCCUCACCACCGACAACCUCAGGUUCCUGUCGUCCAAGCAGGCGCUCUUCGACCUCGCCGUCUUCCGCCAGUAUUACCAGGAAAAACUGAAUUCUCAGUACAACCGGAGCGCGGGGUUCGACAAUCCGUGGUUUGUCUUCGGGGUCUCCUACUCCGGGGCUCUCAGCGCCUGGUUCAGGCUCAAGUUCCCUCACCUGACAUGCGGAAGCCUCGCGAGCUCCGGGGUGGUUCUUGCUGUGUACAACUUCACUGAUUUCGACAAGCAGGUUGGAGAGUCGGCUGGCCCUCAGUGCAAAGCCGCCCUUCAGGAAAUAACUAGACUUGUCGACGAACAGCUUCGGUUGGAUAGCCACUCUGUGAAGGCCUUGUUCGGAGCAGAUUCGUUGAAAAAUGACGGCGACUUCCUCUUUCUUCUGGCAGAUGCAGCAGCCACAACAUUCCAGUAUGGGAAUCCUGAUGCCUUGUGCUCUCCUCUAGCUAAUGCGAAGAAAAAGGGGGAAAGUUUGGUGGAAACAUAUGCUCACUUUGUGAAAGAUUACUUCAUUAAAAAAUUGGGGACUACAGUGUCUUCUUAUGAUCAAGAGUAUUUGAAGGAAACAACUCCCGAUGAUUCUAGUUCUAGACUUUGGUGGUUCCAAGUUUGCAGUGAAGUUGCCUAUUUUCAAGUCGCACCCAAAAAUGAUAGUGUUCGUUCUGCGCAGCUUAAUACAAGGUACAAUUUGGACCUGUGUAAAAAUGUUUAUGGAGAAGGAGUUUAUCCUGAUGUGUUCAUGACAAACUUAUAUUAUGGAGGCACAAGUAUUGCUGCUUCUAAAAUUGUGUUUACAAAUGGCUCUCAAGAUCCAUGGCGUCAUGCCUCCAAACAGAAUUCAUCGGAAGACAGUGAGCCUUUAAAUUUCUAAUGCCAUCAUACAUAAUCAAAUGUAGCAACUGCGGACAUGGCACUGAUUUGAGAGGAUGUCCCCAGCUUCCUUUCAGGAUUGAAGGUGACUCUUCAAACUGCACGUCCCCAGAAGCUGUGAACACAGUAAGGAAGCAGAUCGUCAAGCACAUCGACCUGUGGCUAUCACAAUGCCAUGAACCAACAAGGGCGUGGUGAGGUGACGAUGACUCGCACCUGUUUAGGAGUAAAAGAAGCAGUGUGUAGAGGAAGGACCGAUUGCAAGUUUGCGACAUCGUUAUGCUGCAGACCGAGUGAACCAUAUGCGGAUUGAGCAGCCAGUCCCCGGCCUGGAUGCGAUUGCGCGCAGGUUUGUUUGGAUUAUCACAAACGGUAGAAAGUUAUGUUUGUACUGCUGCCGACUAGAGCCAUCAUGGCAACUUUGUCGAGUUCAAAUAAUCAUAUACAUCGUUCAUGAGGCUUUUAAGAAUAAAGGUAGGGGGUUCUUCAAACCAAGGCUAUUUCCUUUGUUGUUAGUACAUGUUACUCCUAUUUCUUAACGGCUAUUAGUAAAAAGAAAAAUAGAUUUCUGCAGAAA